rnacentral:misc_RNA from 1 species
AGAACUUGAGUUAUUUCCAAAAGGGAGUUUGCCAUCCAAAUUAGAAUAUGUUGACAUCAGUUAUUGUGAGAAACUCAAAAUCAAAGUCAUUAGUAGUAAAUAUGAAGGAGAAAAGGAAACGCUUCUGCUGCCCUCCGCUGUCACCUGUCUUAAAAUCGAUACCCUUCAAAAUUUGGAAUCUCUCAACUACAAGGGGCUGAUACACCUUAGAAGGUUAAAAAUCUGGAACUGCACUAACCUCCAGUUCAUGCCAGAAUGUAUGCAAGCGCUCCUCCCUGCCCUUGUGGAAUUGGAAAUAUAUUAUUGUCCGAAACUCAAAUUCAAAGUUAUUGCAUCUGGCAACGGCAGUAAUUACGAAGAAGAGGAAACACUGCUGCUGCCGACCUCCACUCUCAGCUGUCUUACAAUCCAACUCCUUCAAAAUCUGGAAUCUCUUGACUAUGAGGGGCUUAUGAACCUUAGAAAGUUGCGCAUCUGGGACUGCCCUAACCUCCAGUCCAUGCCAGAAAGCAUGCAAACGCUCCUCCCUUUCCUUGUGGAAUUGAAAAUAGGCAAUUGUCCAAAACUUGAGCCAUUUCUAAAAGGAGGUUUGCCUUCUCGAUUAGAAUCACUCGGUAUCAAUGGCUGCAAAGGGGCAAUUGUGGGGCUCAUGAAACGCGAUUUCCGGGCGCUGCCAGACAAUGAAGUGGAAUG